GGAGUAAUGGAGAACUCCAAGGGCAGGAGGUAACCAUUAAAGAGGACCAUCAUGUAGUGUGAGGAGUCAACAUUUCACACUAGAAAGCCCUUGGUUCAAGUUUUGUCUCUGCCACCUACAGAUUUUGUAACCCUGAGGAAACUAGCUACCUCUUUAUGUACUGCCCUAUGGAGAGGCACACAUGUCAAGAAACUGAGGGAGUGCCUUCCAGUCAACAGCCAGCCAGGAACUAAGGUGCUCAGUACAGCAGCCUCCACAAAGGACUGAACAAUGCCAACAGCUAUUUGACUGUGCUUGGAAGAUCUCCGUUUAGUUAACCCUUCAGAUGAGACCGCAGCCCUGGCCAGCAAACAAAUUGCAGCCUAUGGAAAGACCUUAAGGCAGAAGCACCCAACUGAACCACCCGAGGGCUCUGACUUACAGAAACUGUGAGCAUAUAGUGAAAUGGCCUCUACCUUAUUUUGAAUGGAUUUCUGGGAUAAAGUUCUUCAGUGAUAACAUGUUUGAAGCGGCUAUCUUAUGUGCCCAUGUUACAUGCUCAUGAUAAAGCUGCAUUUCCUGAGGGGACACCAAUGGAUACACCUCUGCCUGGCACGCAGCUUAGAGGCUAAAUGUAUGAAAAGCAACACCAUGCAAAUCAUUUUGAAACUGCUGUGGAACUCUCACGGGACCCUCCAUUCUAGACAUCCAGUCCCACUAGUGAUCUGACCAUGAAACCUACUAAGAGACUUCCAGAAGAAGAUGACCUCUGAAAGGAGAAAACUUUCUUCCAAGCUUCUGUGGAACAAGAAGAUGCCAUCCCUUUGGUGGAGCCCAAAGGGAAACCAGAAUGGCAAAUUGAGUCAUGUGAAGUUUCGGGAAUCACACACACAUCAGUGAUGCUGCCUGGAGUUAAAGGAGGCCAGGAGCACCAGAAGCUGGAGGAGGCCGGGGUGGAUUCUCGCCUGGAGGCUUCAGUGGGAGCACGAGCUCCCGACACUUCGGUUCCAUCUCUUGUUUAAAGGCACCCAGUUUCUCAUCAUUUGUUACAGCACCAUGGAAAACCCACACACAAGUGAAGCCCCGACCCACCUCCCAAGUGCCCAUCUGAGCACCCCUCGUGGACUCUGAGCAGGGGGUUGCCAUCACCAACUCCAAGUCUUGCAGCCCCUCUUCCCUUCAGUCUGGCUGCCACCUUCUUCAUUGCCCUGGAAAAAAAUAAUGAAGUUUCACCAUUUAAAGGGUUUCAGUGCAGCUUGCUAUGGGAACACUGGAGAGUAACACAAAUGGCCAAUUGUCCUAAUAGCCACCAUGGAUUGGAUGGAUGCUAACAACAGGCUCACAGUUCUCCUUCUGUUGCCUCCUUUUAUCCACAUGAGAAUCAAACAAGACUACUGAUUAAAUGAAGCCUUUGAUGAAGUGCAUGCAGUUUGUAGCUUGAUUCAUGGGAAUACUCAUCACAGACUGAAAGUGUAACCCAGGGUCUCUGGGUUUUUGGGAACGCGCUGUGUAAAAGUAUCUACUUGUAACUGUUACUCCCUGAGUUGUUGUUGUUUUAGAAAGUUCCAAGAAGAAGCUUAGCCUUGGAAAAAACAAAAACUGGUUGAAUCCAGAAGUGGAGAUGAAUUUUGGCCAACGCUCCUCACUGCCACACUAAAAACCCUGCUCAGAGAGGAGCUUAUUCACCAUGUUCUAUUCAUGCAAUGUGUGUGGAAACAUGAUCUACGACAGCAUGCGUGCUGCCUUCACCCUACCUCUACAUACAAUGACUCAUUUAACCUGCUGAAUAAAAGCCCUGUUUUCACCUUUGCUGGGGGAGGUGCCGCUUUGGGAACUAUUCGCAGUGUCCUCUUCACUUUUUGCAAGUAAUAGAAUACCCUUGUUAAAUCCUA
ensembl:lncRNA LINC01229 long intergenic non-protein coding RNA 1229